UACGUAGGGUGCAAGCGUUGUCCGGAAUUAUUGGGCGUAAAGAGCUCGUAGGCGGUCUGUCGCGUCGGAUGUGAAAAUCCAGGGCUCAACCCUGGACCUGCAUUGGGUACGGGCAGACUAGAGUGCGGUAGGGGAGACUGGAAUUCCUGGUGUAGCGGUGAAAUGCGCAGAUAUCAGGAGGAACACCGGUGGCGAAGGCGGGUCUCUGGGCCGUAACUGACGCUGAGGAGCGAAAGCGUGGGGAGCGAACAGG
rnacentral:rRNA from 1 species